rnacentral:rRNA from 1 species
GACGAACGCUGGCGGCGUGCUUAACACAUGCAAGUCGAACGGAAAGGCCCUGCUUUUGUGGGGUGCUCGAGUGGCGAACGGGUGAGUAACACGUGAGUAACCUGCCCUUGACUUUGGGAUAACUUCAGGAAACUGGGGCUAAUACCGGAUAGGAGCUCCUGCUGCAUGGUGGGGGUUGGAAAGUUUCGGCGGUUGGGGAUGGACUCGCGGCUUAUCAGCUUGUUGGUGGGGUAGUGGCUUACCAAGGCUUUGACGGGUAGCCGGCCUGAGAGGGUGACCGGCCACAUUGGGACUAAGAUACGGCCCAGACUCCUACGGGAGGCAGCAGUGGGGAAUAUUGCACAAUGGGCGGAAGCCUGAUGCAGCAACGCCGCGUGUGGGAUGACGGCCUUCGGGUUGUAAACCGCUUUCGCCUGUGACGAAGCGUGAGUGACGGUAAUGGGUAAAGAAGCACCGGCUAACUACGUG